rnacentral:misc_RNA from 1 species
UCAAACUUGGUCAUUUAGAGGAAGUAAAAGUCGUAACAAGGUUUCCGUAGGUAAGUAAAAACUAUCAAUCUUACACCCCUUAUAGCCUAUAACAUACUGACUUUUUUCUUUUAGGUGAACCUGCGGAAGGAUCAUUAUAGAGUGGUAACCCCCCUGUAAAAGGGGGGGACCUCCUGUCCUUUGUAGGCUCCUUUUUUUUUUAAAGGGCUUUUUUAAAUUUUUUCUGCUUCGGUGGGGUUAUCCCACCGGAACAACCUCAAAACUCUGAUCAAAAAAUUGUUCUGUCUGAGGACCUUUUAUAAUUAAAAAACAAAACUUUCAACAACGGAUCUCUUGGUUCUGGCAUCGAUGAAGAACGCAGC